GACGAACGCUGGCGGCGUGCUUAACACAUGCAAGUCGAACGGAAAGGCCCUGCUUUUGUGGGGUGCUCGAGUGGCGAACGGGUGAGUAACACGUGAGUAACCUGCCCUUGACUUUGGGAUAACUUCAGGAAACUGGGGCUAAUACCGGAUAGGAGCUCCUGCUGCAUGGUGGGGGUUGGAAAGUUUCGGCGGUUGGGGAUGGACUCGCGGCUUAUCAGCUUGUUGGUGGGGUAGUGGCUUACCAAGGCUUUGACGGGUAGCCGGCCUGAGAGGGUGACCGGCCACAUGGGGACUGAGGGACGGCCCAGACUCCUACGGGAGGCAGUAGUGGGGAAUAUUGCAGAAUGGGCGGAAGCCUGAUGCAGCAACGCCGCGUGCGGGAUGACGGCCUUCGGGUUGUAAACCGCUGUCGCCUGUGACGAAGCGUGAGUGACGGUAAUGGGUAAAGAAGCACCGGCUAACUACGUG
rnacentral:rRNA from 1 species